rnacentral:rRNA from 1 species
UACGGGGGGGCAAGCGUUGUUCGGAAUUACUGGGCGUAAAGGGCUCGUAGGCGGCCAACUAAGUCGGAUGUGAAAUCCCCAGGCUUAACCUGGGAACUGCAUCCGAUACUGGAUGGCUUGAAUUCGGGAGAGGGAUGCAGAAUUCCAGGUGUAGCGGUGAAAUGCGUAGAUAUCGGGAGGAACACCAAUGGCGAAGGCAGCUCGCUGGGACGGUACUGACGCUGAGACGCGAAAGCGUGGGGAGCAAACAGGG